CGCGGGGCGGGGUCGAGCGAGUUCAGGAGCAGUGAGGCGUGGCUGGGUGUGCGCGCACGCGUGUGUGGAAAGGGGCCAGCCACUGCCCCUUCUCCUCAAGGAGCCCUCGAAUGUGUACCGAAGGUCCCCCGGCCAGCAAUCUCUUGCAGCGAAGCUCCCACCUCUGCUUCCGGUUCUCCCCAUCAAGGUGUGUUAUGGAAGAAGAAUACGAGGUUCUGCAGAAAGAUUGGUCCCAGAUCUUGAAGCUCUAGCAGGCAUGGUUUGGAUUUUUUCAGACAUGAGGUGUAUUGUAGGGUUCAAGGAGAGCAUUUGAUGGUUCUUCUCACAAUUCCUCUUUUUGUCUCAGUCGUAAAGCUGUAGCUUACCGAUGAUGGUGAUGGGUGCGCAAAGACCACAGAGGCAAAGUCACAGAGGUGGGAGGAUUGGUGCAGGUGGCAAUGGCAAGAAACUGAUCCGAUCAAGCACAUCGACAACUGCUCUAGAGCCCCUGCCAGGUGAAGCAUGUUUUGCUGUUCCAAGCACCUCUCUGUUGACACGGUUUCAGUCUGCCCAAUGAGUUGAAUUGUACCUUGAUCAGCACAUGGAUGAGCAAGCAAGCAGGCUAUAUGUAUAGCUAAAAGAUCCAUUCUCAGCUGUGUGGGUGCUGCAGGGAAGGUGUACCUGUGCCUGGCAGUGCGAACGACGACUCACUAACCUUUGCUAGACAUUGAGCACAGCCUGCGGAAUCACAGUUAUAUCGUGCUUCUUAUAAGCAUUGUACGCGAUGUAAAUUUGGUGCUCCAGAUAAAAGGCUGAGAGACAGAUUUGCAUGUGCAGCUGAAAAGCAAAUGUUUAGGUCCUUCAGCAAUAAGAAUUCUUUAUUGGCUUAGAAACUCAAUUUGUGCCAAAAGUUCACAAGGACUUUCCGUUCACAAGCACAUGUAUUGAGCACUCAUUGUUGGUGUGUUUUCUUAUGAGCACUCACUGUUGGUCUUUUUUGGGGGUUUCCAUUUCAGGCUAUCAAUGGUGAGGUGGAGUCAUAGUACUUAGUGGACGUGUGGUCAAGGAACCACCCCUGCUACAUUGGCGAGUGGCGGCUCCUCAGCGUUGGCCAUCAUUUGUAGUAUCUCCUUCUGUAGCUCCAGCAGCAGCAGUGACGAUGACAAGCUGGAGAAGCCCAUGACAGAAGCCAUGGACGAGCUGUACGGAGAAGCUCCUCUACAAGAGCCUGUUGUCAAUGGCAUCAACACAAGGUUCGCCCUCUGCUCCUCUAUGUCAGAUGAACGGCUUCACCGGCACCGACGAUGGGAUCGUAGCGCAGCUCCUCACCUCAGUGCAAGCAACUGUCCCGAGGAUAAUGCAAAAGGUAACAUUUGAUCGCAUUGCAUGCUAGAGGACGCGAGCGAAGAAUCUGGGACUGUCUAAUAGUUUAUUUGAUGGUACGCAUUUGUGCUCUCUACAAAGCACAAGGAUAUCUAGCUCGGCAGCUGUGUUCAGUUAAGUGUGCAAAUGUCAGCACCAAGGUGAGAGAUUCAGAUGAUUGUCAAAAUUUUGAGGUGGAAGCAAAUUAAAUCAACGCCCUGUAGUUUUGAAGCAGUCUUGCACGGCAGCGAGCUCCGCGUCGUGUGACAAGAAAUACCAAGGAUAUUUGCUUGGGAGUCCGAAACUCUAGAAAGCUUAUGAAUGUGGUGUCUCCAUGGAAUUGGAUUCAACAAGUGUACAUGUUGUGGCCUCAGCAACUUGAACAUAUGACACUGUUUACAUUGUACGCCGAGUGCAUAUUUUGCAAUAGACUAGAAGAUGCAAUCUGCUUUAUUCUAGCAUUUGCCUAAUGUAAUAGCCUAUGUUCAAGGACAAACAGUUAUGCAGACCUAAAGGGUAUCACAAUAUCUCA